rnacentral:rRNA from 1 species
GAAAGUAAGCAAGGGCAGACGGUGGAUGCCUUGGCUCUCGGAGGCGACGAAGGACGUGAUAAGCUGCGAAAAGCUUGGGGGAGGCGCAAAUAGCCGUUGAUCCCGGGAUAUCCGAAUGGGGCAACCCGGCAGGUUGAAGGCCUGUCAUCCCGUAAGGGAGGCGAACGUGGGGAACUGAAACAUCUAAGUACCCAUAGGAGGAGAAAAUAAACAAUGAUUCCGUAAGUAGUGGCGAGCGAACACGGAAGAGCCCAAACCCAUGUCGUCUAGGCGACACGGGGGUUGUAGGACCACGACGUGGCAAGAAGGAAGGGAAAUGGAACGACUUGGAAAAGUCGGCCAUAGACGGUGAAAGCCCGGUACAUGACUCCCUUACGAAGCCUAGUGGUAUCCUGAGUAGCGCGGGGCACGAGAAAUCUUGCGUGAAACAGCGGGGCCCAUCCCGUAAGGCUAAAUACUCCCGAGAGACCGAUAGCGAACCAGUACCGUGAGGGAAAGGUGAAAAGAACCCCGAGCAGGGGAGUGAAAUAGACCCUGAACCCGUCUGCCUACAAGCGGUCGGAGCGUCGUAAUGACGUGACGGCGUGCCUUUUGCAUAAUGAACCUACGAGUUACCUUCCCCGGCAAGGUUAAGUACCUAAGGUACGGAGCCGAAGCGAAAGCGAGUCUGAACAGGGCGCCAAGUCGGGGGGGGUAGACGCGAAACCGAGUGAUCUACCCUUGGCCAGGUUGAAGGUUGGGUAACACCAACUGGAGGACCGGAUGGGUAAGCGUUGAAAAGCUUUCCAAUGAGCUGAGGGUAGGGGUGAAAGGCUAAUCAAACUCGGAGAUAGCUCGUACUCCCCGAAAUGCAUUUAGGUGCAGCCUCUUUAUAGUAUAUCGUGAGGUAGAGCGACUGAUUGGAUGCGAGGGCUUCACCGCCUAUCAAGUCCAGAUAAACUCCGAAUGCGCGAUAUAUAUUUACAGGGAGUGAGGGCGCGGGUGCUAAGGUCCGUGUCCGAGAGGAGAAGAAUCCAGACCACCGGCUAAGGCCCCCAAAUGAUCGUUAAGUUGAACUAACGAGGUCGGAUCGCAGAGACAGCUAGGAUGUUGGCUUGGAAGCAGCCAUUCAUUUAAAGAGUGCGUAACAGCUCACUAGUCGAGCGAUCUGGCGUGGAUAAUAAUCGGGCAUAAACGAUCUGCCGAAGCCGCGGAUGUCGCAAGACAUGGUAGGGGAGCAUUCCAUGGGCGUCGAAGAUGAGGGAUGACCCUUGUUGGAGCGCAUGGAAAAGCAAAUGUAGGUAUGAGUAACGAUAAGGGGGGCGAGAAACCCCCCCGCCGAAAGACCAAGGUUUCCUGAUCAACGCUAAUCGGAUCAGGGUGAGUCGGGACCUAAGGCAAAGCCGAACGGCGCCGCCGAUGGAAGAAUGGGUUAAUAUUCCCAUACUGCCUCAUGGAGUGACGUGGAGACGGAGAAGUGACAGUCCUGCCGGCUGACGGAAUAGCCGGUUGAAGGGUGUAGGUGUCGAUCGCGGUAGGCAAAUCCGCCGCGAGAGCCGAACCUGAGAGUAUACGGAGCGCUUGCGCAACGUAAUAUGGACGUAACCAUGCUCCCGAGAAAAUCCGCUAAACUUAUCCAUGCGGCACCCGUACCGUAAACGGACACACGUGGUCGGGUUGAGAAUACUGAGGCGCUCGAGUGACUCACGGUUAAGGAACUAGGCAAAUUGACCCUGUAACUUCGGGAUAAAGGGUCCUCGUCGUAAGGCGAGGCGCAGAGAAUAGGUCCAGGCAACUGUUUAACAAAAACACAUGGCUGUGCCAAAUGGAAACAUGACGUAUACAGCCUGACACCUGCCCGGUGCCGGAAGGUUAAGAGGAGAUGUCAUCCGCGAGGAGAAGCGUUGAAUUGAAGCCCCGGUAAACGGCGGCCGUAACUAUAACGGUCCUAAGGUAGCGAAAUUCCUUGUCGGGUAAGUUCCGACCUGCACGAAUGGUGUAAUGAUCUGGACACUGUCUCAACCGUGAGCUCGGUGAAAUUGUAGUAUCGGUGAAGAUGCCGAUUACCCGCGAUGGGACGAAAAGACCCCGUGAACCUUUACUAUAGCUUUACAUUGAGUUUGGGCAGACGAUGUGUAGGAUAGGCCGGAGGCUUUGAAGCAGGUACGCCAGUAUUUGUGGAGCCGACGUUGAAAUACGGCCCUUCGGUUGUUUGAGUUCUAACUCCCGGACGGGAGGACACUGUAUGGUGGGUAGUUUGACUGGGGUGGUCGCCUCCAAAAGCGUAACGGAGGCUUCUAAAGGUGCCCUCAGACCGAUUGGUAACCGGUCGCAGAGUGUAAUGGCAUAAGGGCGCUUGACUGGGAGACAUACAAGUCGAUCAGGUAGGAAACUAGAGCAUAGUGAUCCGGUGGUUCCGCAUGGAAGGGCCAUCGCUCAAAGGAUAAAAGGUACUCCGGGGAUAACAGGCUGAUCAUUCCCAAGAGCUCAUAUCGACGGAAUGGUUUGGCACCUCGAUGUCGGCUCGUCACAUCCUGGGGCUGGAGAAGGUCCCAAGGGUUGGGCUGUUCGCCCAUUAAAGUGGCACGCGAGCUGGGUUCAGAACGUCGUGAGACAGUUCGGUCUCUAUCUAUCGUGGGCGCAGGAGAUUUGCGAGGCUCUGACACUAGUACGAGAGGACCGUGUCGGACGUACCACUGGUUUACCGGUUGUCCCGCCAGGGGCACCGCCGGGUAUCUAAGUACGGAUCGGAUAAGUGCUGAAAGCAUCUAAGUACGAAGCCGGCCUCAAGAUUAGAUCUCCCCUGAAGGGUGGUUAUAGACGAUGACCUUGAUAGGCCACAGGUGUAAGGGCGGCGACGUCCGAGCCGAGUGGUACUAAUAGCCCGGGACUUUCCUCA